rnacentral:lncRNA from 1 species
GAGAUCGGGCCAAACCGGAUGCCGGGUGCCGCGGGAGGCCGAUUGCAAGUGUCGACAAGCAAUCGGAAUGCGAAAUGAGGUGGGUUGUGUUUACCGAAGCGACUUGGUUGCCCCGCAUGUCAAAGCGAAAUAUGAAAUCUUGUUGAUGCAUAUGUGUAUGUGCAUACGGGCAUAUUAACAUUGUAUAAAUGCAUGCUAGUUGGUAAUUUGCAUAUUAGUAUGUAUGCUUAGUGAAAUACAUGCAAGGGGCAUUUAGUAUUAUGAGAUUCAUGUUGACAUGUAUUAGAGAAUGUGAGCAUAUAAAUGAAUGUUAACAUGUUGUUGAUUAUAUGAGUUAUGAGAAAUUGCUAAAUGUGGACACAUGUUAGAUGACAAUGAGCAUAUUGACAUUAUGAAAAUGCAUACUACAGGAUAAUUGCAUAAUAAUGCAUUGGGAAAGUACACGCUAGUUGUAAUGUAUGUUGGUAUUGACAUGAUGCAUGUAGUUAACACUAAAAGAAUGCAUGUAAAUAACAUGAUGUAAAAGCUAGACAAAUGCUUGGUAUGGUUGCUAUAUAAUAAUUAUCGUAAAAUGCAUGAUGAAUAUGCUAUGUAAAUGCUGGAUGAUUGCAUGAAUUGGAUCGAUAACUCUAUGAUAGAGACCUUGACAUUGGACAUCUAUAUAUUAGAUCGAGUGGCACUUAACCUAGAGUCAGGAACCUAGGUUGAACAUGGAUGAUAUGAACCUAGUGUGAAUAAAUAUAGGUUGGACAUGAACCUAGUGUCAAAGAACUUAGGUUGGAAUCAUGUGUGGCAUUAAACCUAUCGUUAAAGAACAUAAGUCGGACUUGGACAAUAGUAAACAAGGGUGACAAUGAAAAUAGAGGCAUGAUUGGCAUCAAGAAAGUGGUUGUUAAACAUAGUUUAACCAUAUUGACAUUGGUCCAAGUUGACAUAGAGAGUGGCAUGAUUAAAUAGGUAGAAAACCUAUUAUGACAAUGGCAUUGUGACGAGUGGCUAUGAAUCCUCAAGUUGAGGAUUGGAUCGAUACUCACGUUACGUCUUGGCUUGAGGGAGGUAGCUCCCCCUCGGGCGGUGCGCUCCGGAGUUGGUCACCACUGGGCGUGGUAAAGUCCCCCCAGAUGACGGUCCCCAGGGAGGUUCGAGUCCCCCGUUAUUAAGGGAUUUUGGUUGUGAGUUAUUGGGGUUAACAUGGUUAACCGGUAAGAUUGGGUCAUAGCCAAAUGAAUGUACAACAAGUAUACAUUAUGAGUUAUGGAUUUGGUAUCCCAGUCGAGAGGAUUUAGGGCUGAGGUGUAUGUGAGACGUCCAUCGCCUCGAGCCUGGUUCUAGUGCGGUACUCCGCAGACGAUUGACUCAAGACCGAGUCGGGUGGUUAGCCUUGUAAAGGUAGAUGAAACUUUAUGAUUAAAACGGUGAUUGACAAGAAUCUAAGAUAGAGGAAACCUUAGAUAUCAAAUGGAUGAGCUAUGGUUAGCAGAAUUGAAAGUAGUAUCGAAUGAACUACUAGUUGGUUGCAUUGUUGCAUUAUUGCAUGAUUUGCAUAUAGUAUUGCAUUAUUACAUUUGUGAGGCAAUGCAUGGUUUUAUUCGUUGCAUAAUCAAGAUAUAUAUAUCUAUCUGUUUAUUAAACUAACCUGCAGUUGCCUCCUUUGAACCUGUUGGUCGAGCAUUUCCCUUGGGUGGCCGUACCCACUGGGAACCAUGGAGUUGGUUCUCACCCCACGUGAUUUUGGGGUGUUACAGGUUCGCACGUGAGCGGCGCGGCGGCGCGAGGCGAGGGCGUAGCUCCAUAGUUAGCACCCUACCACCGAGACCAGAGCUAGCAGUACCCCGUCGACAUAGCUUAGGGGUUAAAGAAAUGAAAAGAAUCAAGUUGUAAUAAUCAUGUUAAAUCAGAUUGUAUUUGGAAGUUAAGUGAAAGUUAAUGUAAGAACCAACUGAGAAUUGUGAUGUAAAAUGCAUGAAUAUGAAUGAAUGUAAUAAUAUAGGAUGUGUUUAUAUUGUUUGAUACCUUCCAUUAUACAAUCUUGAUUGAAAUGUGUUCCUGGUUGGAACUGCACACAUUGUAUUGAUUGCUAUGCCUGAACGUACAGGGGAGACUCUGUCCGCAGUACAGGGAAAACCCUGUCCGUUCGGCGAUCUGUUGCGGCGCCGCGACCCGGCCAAAUAGACGGGCGGUCGCGGGGCGUGACAGAUAAGAUGGUAUCAGAGUAUAAAAAAAACAUAAAAAGAAUAAUAGAAAAUAGUUUAGUUGGACCUAGGAGACCCUAGGAUAGUAAACCAUAGGAGAUUAAGGCUCGUGAGAGACGAGGACUUGUGACUUUUGGCGAAAGGUUAAUUGAUUGGGUUAUGUCAUAAACCUCUAAAACGGAUGUUAGAGGUAGACUCAAGGUGAGGUUUAUUCUCAACAGAGGGUGUUCAUGUUGGGUGCACACAACAUGAAGCCGAGUGAUGAGAGUAGACGCCUUUGCGUGACUUUCGCCCGAUUUGAGUCGGUAUUAAGUGUUUCGUGUUCGACCUAGAAGGUCGAGGAUUAAUAGGGUUGUCGCGUUUUAGGGAGUAAUAGCACCGCGUAGGCGAUCUUCUUUUAGAUCGGCGCGGGAUGGGCCAAGUGGUGUCCCUGGGCAAUUUGAGGCGAGCAGAGAUUGGGAACUUCGCGAGUUUUGGCGUCUCUCGUGAUCUUUGAGAAAUUAAUGGAAUCCUCGUCGUGUUAGAUCACUUUUGGGUCAAAUUGACCAAAGUGCGUCGAGAGAAGUAGUUGGACAAAAUCCAAUUUACAUUCCAAUGAUGUUGGAAGGGUUAGAAUUAAGUUCUAAAAGAGUUAGAAUAGUUUUAGCAUUGCUCGACGCGAAUUGGAGUAGAAGCUGUGCAAAAUUGAAGUUCUGGAACAUGUGUUACCGAUUUAACACCAGGGGUGUACCGGUAUAGCAUGGUCGUAACGAAGUGAACUCUCGAGAGCCGAGAGUUGGACUUCGUUCGGGAUCGGCUAGU